GACGAACGCUGACGGCGUGCCUAACACAUGCAAGUCGAGCGGUCCAUAGAGUUUUAGCUUGCUAAAACUCUAUGGAUAGCGGCGAACGGGUGAGCAACGCGUGGGUAACCUGUCCGGAAGACUGGGAUAACAGUUCGAAAGGACUGCUAAUACCGGAUAUUUUCACCGGGUCACAUGGCCUGGUAUGGAAAGGAAGGCAACUUCUGUUUCCGGAUGGGCCCGCGUCCCAUUAGCUAGUUGGUAGGGUAAAGACCUACCAAGGCGACGACGGGUAGCUGGUCUGAGAGGAUGGGGCAGCCACACUGGGACUGAGACACGGCCCAGACUCCUACGGGAGGCAGCAUG
rnacentral:rRNA from 1 species